ACUUAAAUUAUUCAGUAAGGAUCGCAGACAGAUUCUUAUAAAUUUGACAAACCUGUAGCAAAAUUAUUAGUAUAGAGUCUCGAACAUUCUUGCCGUAUUACAAAGUCCUAAAUUUUCUGUAUCAUGGAUUGGAAGAGCUUUGAGGGGCGUCGCAAACAGCCAUACGAUGACUGUCUGCCACCCUUUCGCGUCGGCCCAAUGGAAGAAAUUUUCUCCGGGGGCCCAAUACACGAAGAACUAAGCAAUCUCCUGCCGCAGCCUGUAACGCAGCCAAGCCUGAACACCUUGGCAGGCAGUAGCCUCCAAAAGCGUCAACAAAAGAACGAGGGUCCCCACUGUAAUCCUUGCUCGAGACCGGCUGAAUCUGGACUUUAUUUGCGCUAUCGCAACAAGGAAACGAAUAAUGUAUUGCGGAGGCUGUGGUGCCUGGACAAAUUAAAUGCUUGCGAAUACCCAAAGUGAUGCCCAAUUGAGUUAUAUGCCUCGAACCUGCACUUGACCCAGCCACGGAACAAAAAUCAUUUCAUCCAAGCGAUGGCAUCACUGCACAUGAUAAUUGUGGGUGGCACACGACGAAAAAGCGUGAAUAAACAAAGUCGCGACUGAAUUAGUUUUACAUACAAAAAAUAAAAAUAAAAAAAAAAAUAUCAACAGCAUUUGAACAGCUCAAUUUGGCUUUAAUAUGCCCCUAUAAUUACACGUUUGCUGCAAUUACAUAAGCUACGCCGGCCAAGGGGGGCGGAGCAGUCGCAGGUUUGCUGGCAAGCCGCGGGCCAUAUAAGCGCCAGCCUCGACACUGAUUGCAACAACUGGCAGAACGAACAGCAUCAGCAAACAUGCGUCUAUGCCUGCUACUAGCCCUGACCCUGGCCGUGCUGCUGCAACUGGCCGCAGCUAGAGUAACGCCUCUCCAGGGUGCUCAGCAUCAUGGCUCGUCGACUGUGGCCAGCCUAACUGCCGUGGCAGGCGCUCCGUCGGGACAGCCGCCACGUGGAGGACCACCGCCGCCGCCACGCACCACCACAGCUGCCUCCUCCGGCUAAUGGUAGGAGCUGACAUGGACCUACACCUACACCCUACGUAACUUUGGAAAUCUAUAUUAAUUCUGCACUGUAUUGUAUAAAUGACACCCACCAAUAAAGCAAAUG
rnacentral:misc_RNA from 1 species